rnacentral:lncRNA from 1 species
GAGAGCAUGUUUCCUCGUUCUCUUACCUCUGUAACCUCCCUCAGCUCCUCUCUCCCUCUCCCUCUCCUGCAUGCAGGUGGGUGGCUCUCCCUCUCCCUCUCGUGUACUCGUGCAGGAGAUCUCUCCCUCUUUGCCUCUCUCUCUCUCUCUCUAUCCCUCCCUCUUCCUCUCGUGCAUGUGGGCGGCUUCCUUAGCUCCUUUCCAUCGAUUGAUUAGAAGGUAAGACAUUUAUCUAGCUCAAAUGAUCCUUUAUUUUGUUAUUUUUGCUUGUUAUUCUUUUUAUUUCAUCUUUUUUUGGAGAUAUGUGGGGAAGGAGAGCACCCAAGGGACAUCGGAGGGUUUUAUUAGGUUCCGAUUGGG